GGAUGUAGUUCAGUCAUACAGACUCUGCUUUGAAUGCAGAAGGUGCUGGGUUCAAUCCCUAGCAUCUCCA